GACAGGGGGCUCGAGCGUUAAUCGGAAUCAUUGGGCUUAAAGGGUGCGUAGGCGGGUUGCUAAGUGUUCUGUGAAAUCCCCCGGCUCAACCGGGGAAUCGCAGGGCAUACUGGCAGCCUUGAGGCAUGUAGGGGCGGACGGAACUGUAGGUGGAGCGGUGAAAUGCGUAGAUAUCAGGAGGAACACCGAUGGCGAAGGCAGCUCGCUGGGACGGUACUGACGCUGAGGCGCGAAAGCGUGGGGAGCAAACAGG
rnacentral:rRNA from 1 species